CUUAAUCUCUUUAUUUUCUGACAGCUCCUGACUGUCAGUCAAUGCUGUAAAUAUUGUGCACCUAAGAAAAUGUUUACCCAACACUUAACUUUCCCAUGAAGCAGGAUGGCUUCAGGAAAGUGAGUGCUAAGCAUUCUUGUUGUUAUAAGGCCACGUGGAAUAGGUUGAGUUUGACUACUCACUUCCCCAGAGUCCAUAGAAACAGUCUAGAGACUGUGGUUUGCCUUGCAGCCUGCAAGUGACAGGGAAAAGCCACCAUGACCUCCCUCCUGCACGAUAAACUUCAUGAAACCUACUGUCAGGCUCCUUCUCCCAGCAAAGAUUUUCAUCAUCUUACCAUCACCAAAACAGAGGUGAUCUGGAGGACUUGGAGGAUUUCCUUUCGGCCAAAUCAAGGAAAGGUUUUUCCAACAGAAGGAAGGUACAGGAUGUCUUUAGUAAGAGGAUGCUGGAAUAUAUUCUGAACUUGUGUCAGGGACAUUAUGAUUUCCUGGUUCGAAUGCCUGACAAUCUGCUUAUAUAUAUCCUGUCAUUUCUUAACAUGGAUGCCAUUGGACAACUGUCAAAAACUUGCAAAAAAUUUCAGCAGUUAUGCAGCAGCAAAGAAUUUUGGGAGAGAGUUGGAAUGCUUCAAGAUGAACAGAGUCUUGAUAAGAGGAUGAUGGCAUUCCCAGUUUACAAGAAGCUAAUAAACUUAAAUCAAAAGCACCAUCAGAUUCAGAGAAGACAGACUACACUAUUUUAAUGUUGUUUGAGUAUUAUUGGAAUGAACCUAACAGGCCAAUCAUGCAUUUUCCUAUUAUAUCGCUACUACUAAAGGAAGAUUAAGAAGUUAAAAUAAAUAAAUAUCAAUUUCUCUAGAGGAUUAAGAUUUCAUCAGUCCCUUCCCUCAUUAGUUACAAUUGGAAUGGCAACAUUAGUUUGCAAAUCACAUUUCCACCUAAAUUGUUUGAAAUUCUUUAAUUAUAAGUAAUUCAUCAUAUUACUGGGAUGGAAACAACAGCAAUAUUUAUACUUUUUUUCUUUUGUUAAGGAUUUUUUGUGUACUUUAUAGCUUCUCAUACAGGUCAGAGGAAUACCAAUACAGUUGGGUGCGUCAGCUGGGCAGCUGUUACACACAGGGCAAUGGUUAAUUCUGGUUGCUACCAUGCCACCACUGUGAUUAUACAACUGUGGCAGCAGCAUUUUUUUUUUAGCUACCUUCCUCUGCCCAUCCAAGGCAGCACCUGAGACAGCUGCCCAGGUUGCCCCGCUUUUGUUAUGCUACUGAUACAGGCCCUACAGUGUUGAACCUUAAAGUAAACAGUAACGUAUACAAAGUUGUACACAUAAAGGAGAAGGAGGAGGGUCAUCCUGACCAGGCUUAGAGAAUAAUGAAGAGGCCCAGCAAAAGACUCAUUGAAAAAUAAAGAAACAAGGGAAAAGGAACAGUUUGCUCUUUUAAAUUCUUAGUUUAAUGUCAGGUAAUUGAGCUUUAUUGAGCUUUUAAAGUCAUAAACAUAACAUCUUCCAAAAUGUUAUUCCUUUAAAUCUGCUUCAAGUCAUGAAUAUUACUGAUUAUUUAGCUUCUAUCUCACUCCACCUUAUAAAAAUAGUUCAUUGGACAUACACACACUUAUUAUGGUUCACUCAGUGCAGUAGAAAUUAUAAACAAAAGACUUGAGCCCUACAUAAUGACUUAAGAAGUGAUACAAAGGAGCUGGGGGGCAGGGGAGGCUGUGGGUUGAUCAUUACAUUUGAAAAAGUUAAAUGCCAAAUACUACUACUCACAGCCAUCAUAAAGCAGGAAAAUAUAUCGAAGUGAAUACAGUUGUGGUGUAAAUGCAGGCAGUUCCAAUGUUCUCCAAUGGUCAAUGAAGCUGGACCUACUCACAGCAAGGCUGAAUAGUCAAAAUAAGUUACUGGUAUUAAAAUAAAAUCUUUCAGUUUAUUUUUAUUAAACCUGGAGGCGAGAUGCACAUUUGUACUCCUGUCUGAGCUGUGAGAGAAUGGAGUGCAGAGGAGCGCUUUAUUCUUUGUCCUCUGGGGCAGACUGAGCAUGCUCCUACUUAGUAACAGGAGAACAGCAGCUCGCUGGCUGAACAGAGGGAGGGAAGAGGAAACUUCAGGCAGCACUGCCUCUCCAUAGCAGCAGGCAGGUGGAAGUGUUCCCUAAGAUUUUAACAAGGGCCUCUCCUACCCUCCCCGCAACAUGCACAAAAAGCCACUAGUAGAGCAUAUGCUGCAAUGAGGAGUGGGUCAGGGACUGGGAAGCCGAUUUGGCUUGUUGUGACAGCUAAUCAGAAACAGUUCCUCAUACCCUCCCCCUGUUACACCUUUUUUAAAAGUCUGUACACGAAGUGCAUUUGAGACAAAUAUUUAGUUUGUUCCUGAAAAAUAAACAGUGCAUAUUGACAGAAGUAGUAUUAUGGAACUACUGACAACCUAAGACCAUGUUCAACUUGUGUCAUUUGAGAGUGAAGUUGGAGGAGCAGAUGAAGAUCUUUCAGAGACACCUUGGUCUGUCCUUCCCUGUGAACAUCUUCUGAAUACAGCUGUCACGUUUAGUGCAAUCUAUUUCUUUCCGAAAACGAUGGUACCAGAAAGCCAGUGUAUGGUACCAGAAGGCCAGCUAACAGUUCUCUUUGUAGCCAAGACCUCUCAACAAGCACAGAGCUGGUAGAGUCAGUCCUUCCACCUUCCCUUCCAUUUGGUCCUGACACACAGUAUGGAGGUUACAAAGAACAUUUUAGGGCCUGGAAGCUUGGCUCAGAAGUCAGACUGAUGGUAGCUACAAAAGGAGAGGCCUCCUCUCCACC